CCAGCGAUGACAGAGUUUUCAAUGGAGACAGCAGCAAGUUGAAUGGUACCAACAUGACCAGCAAAUACUUGAGUUAUGGCACCAAUUGAGUAUUGGCAAAUGGAAGUGAAAAUGGCUGGAGCAGCAAGGUACCAUAGUUUUUUCGACUCUGCUGAAAACUCUCGAACGAAAUCUUUAACUCCAUUGAUUUCUUUGAUAUCAUCUGAA